GUAUAUACAGGAAGACACCACUUGUGUUGAUGCGAGGCCCAGUUUGUUGGUGGAGGACCCACCUUGGACAGACAACCCAGUGUGGGUAGCAUUGUUUGUUAUUGCCAUGCUGAUAAUACUGCUGUUGUUAUGUGUUGGUUUGCUGUUAUUAUAUCGGUG